UUUUCCUUAGCUUAGUUAAGAGUGUCAGUGUGAAGUUCUGGAGGUAUAGAAAUAUAGGAGAAG
rnacentral:tRNA from 1 species